CCAGACGGCCGGACGGCCGCCCUCGGCGCCGACGUGUCGGCGUCGGGGGAGGAAAGUCCGGGCUCCACGGAAACGCGGUGCCGGGUAAUGCCCGGCGGGGGUGACCCCAGGGAAAGUGCCACAGAAAGCAAACCGCCCGGCGGCCCUCGGGCCGACGGGUAAGGGUGAAAGGGUGCGGUAAGAGCGCACCGCGUCGCCGGCGACGGGGACGGCAUGGUAAACCCCACCGGGAGCAAGACCGGAUAGGGGCGGCGCGCCGGAGUUUCGGCUCCGGUAGGCAGGGUUUUCGGGCCGAGCCGCCCGGGUAGGUCGCACGAGGCGUCCGGCGACGGGCGUCCCAGAUGAAUGGUCGUCGACCGCCGCGAAAGCGGCCGCGGCGGGGACAGAACCCGGCUUAUAGGCCGUCUGGCGCC
rnacentral:RNase_P_RNA from 1 species